CAACUAAAAACACCCAAGAAUGCUACAUUUUCUUCUGUAUUCUAUCAAAUAUUACAAUUAAUAAUUCUAUCUUCACAUUCACUAUCUCUUUUCUUCUCUUAGUUUAUAAUAAUGAUAUGUAAUACUAUACUAUCUUAAAAGACAUCAUACAAUCAUUCUAUAAUCCAAUCACUAGAAUCCUCUACAUUUAACUGCCAUUCUUCCUAUACUUUUUUUCAAACCUCAAUAUUAUCAUUCUUCCAUUCAUAUCCAUUCUUCACUAAUACUUCCAAUUGUCCACUUACAAUUUUUCAAUGCAUUCAUCCACAAUAAAUUUCAUACUUCAUUCACAACAUUAAAUCUUUUUUUAUUCUAGAAUUUUACUUCAUAUCAUUCAAAAACUAUCCAUUAUUCUUCAACUACAAAGAAACAAAGAGGUAGCACCAAGCUUACCUAGACU
rnacentral:lncRNA from 1 species